rnacentral:lncRNA from 1 species
GUUAAAUAAAUACAUCUGAAUUAAACAUGAUAAUAUAGAAAGAGACAUUCACACGCACAUUCCAACAUCCCACAGAACAUUUAUUCCUAAAUUUCGCCUACCCGGCCUACGAUUGCCUACCCGCUUGACUUACCAUGAUACUAUCACGAAAUUGAUAAUUAGACGCGAAAGUAAUAAUAACGACGAAUCAAAACAACAACAAAUCAAAAUUAAUCCUAAUUCACUUUAACGAUUUUUAAACUCGCGCCCCGAAUUCCCUUUAAACCACAUGAUUAGUGCAUGCUUUGAUUUUCCAAUCACAUCUCAUAAUCCGAAACCAACAUCAAACACAACACAAACAACGAAGAUUCAAACCAAACACACAACAAAUAAAUCAUCCACACCCACAACAUUCAAUAAAAAAGUCAAAAUGAAUUAAAGAUUCGAUUAGAAGAAAUGGACCUCGAUGAAAUUAAUCCUUGUCGAUAAUAAAAAAAUUCGAAGACCAAAAUACUCGAUUGGAGAACCUUACAACGAACAACUCCAAACUCGAUAUUGAGUUCAACCGGACAGAUCGGAAAACCACGACAAAAACCUCACGAUGAAUAACCCACAAAUCCGAAUAAACUUCAAAAAAACAACCCAAGAUCCCAGAUUCGAAACCCCAAACCAACGAUUUCCAACUAACCUUGCACGAACCAAAAUAACUC